CAGCCGCCGCGUAAUACAGAGGGUGCGAGCGUUAAUCGGAUUUACUGGGCGUAAAGCGUGCGUAGGCGGCUUCUUAAGUCGGAUGUGAAAUCCCUGAGCUUAACUUAGGAAUUGCAUUCGAUACUGGGAAGCUAGAGUAUGGGAGAGGAUGGUAGAAUUCCAGGUGUAGCGGUGAAAUGCGUAGAGAUCUGGAGGAAUACCGAUGGCGAAGGCAGCCAUCUGGCCUAAUACUGACGCUGAGGUACGAAAGCAUGGGGAGCAAACAGGAUUAGAUACCCCGGUAGUCCCUGUCUCUUAUACC
rnacentral:rRNA from 1 species